AACGAACGUUAGCGGCGCGCUUAACACAUGCAAGUCGAACGAGAAAGGGCUUCGGCCCCGGUACAGUGGCGCACGGGUGAGUAACACGUGGGUAAUCUACCCUCGAGCGGGGGAUAACGUUCCGAAAGGAGCGCUAAUACCGCAUAAGACCACGCUCUCGAAAGGGAGCGAGGUAAAAGUAGGCCUCUGAAUUCACGCUUACACUCGAGGAUGAGCCCCGCGACCCAUCAUGGUAGUUGGUAGGGUAAUGGCCUACCAAGCCGAAGACGGGUAGCUGGUCUUAGAGGAUGAUCAGCCACACUGGAACUGAGACACGGUCCAGACUCCUACGGGAGGCAGCAGUGGGGAAUCUUAGACAAUGGGCGCAAGCCUGAUCUAGCCAUGCCGCGUGAGUGAUGAAGGCCUUAGGGUUGUAAAGCUCUUUCAGAUGGGAAGAUAAUGACGGUACCAUCAGAAGAAGCCCCGGCUAACUCCGUGCCAGCAGCCGCGGU
rnacentral:rRNA from 1 species